rnacentral:rRNA from 1 species
CCUACGGGAGGCAGCAGUGAGGAAUAUUGGUCAAUGGACGAGAGUCUGAACCAGCCAAGUAGCGUGAAGGAUGACUGCCCUAUGGGUUGUAAACUUCUUUUAUAAAGGAAUAAAACGAGGCACGUGUGCCGUUUUGCAUGUACUUUAUGAAUAAGGAUCGGCUAACUCCGUGCCAGCAGCCGCGGUAAUACGGAGGAUCCGAGCGUUAUCCGGAUUUAUUGGGUUUAAAGGGAGCGUAGAUGGGUUGUUAAGUCAGUUGUGAAAGUUUGCGGCUCAACCGUAAAAUUGCAAUUGAUACUGGCAGUCUUGAGUACAGUUGAGGUAGGUGGAAUUCGUGGUGUAGCGGUGAAAUGCUUAGAUAUCACGAAGAACCCCGAUUGCGAAGGCAGCUUACUAAACUGUGACUGACAUUGAUGCUCGAAAGUGUGGGUAUCAAACAGGAUUAGAUACCCCAGUAGUC